rnacentral:rRNA from 1 species
GGCCUUCGGGUGUAAACCUCUUUAGUAGGGAAGAAGCGAAAGUGACGGUACCUACAGAAAAAGCACCGGCUAACUACGUGCCAGCAGCCGCGGUAAUACGUAGGGUGCAAGCGUUGUCCGGGAAUUAUUGGGCGUAAAGAGCUCGUAGGCGGUUUGUCGCGUCUGCUGUGAAAAUCCGAGGCUCAACCUCGGACCUGCAGUGGGUACGGGCAGACUAGAGUGCGGUAGGGGAGAUUGGAAUUCCUGGUGUAGCGGUGGAAUGCGCAGAUAUCAGGAGGAACACCGAUGGCGAAGGCAGAUCUCUGGGCCGUUACUGACGCUGAGGAGCGAAAGCAUGGGGAGCAAACAGGCUUAGAUACCCUGGUAGUCCAUGCCGUAAACGUUGGGAACUAGAUGUGGGGACCAUUCCACGGUCUCCGUGUCGUAGCUAACGCAUUAAGUUCCCCGCCUGGGGAGUACGGCCGCAAGGCUAAAACUCAAAGGAAUUGACGGGGGCCCGCACAAGCGGCGGAGCAUGCGGAUUAAUUCGAUGCAACGCGAAGAACCUUACCAAGGCUUGACAUAUACGAGAACACUGUAGAGAUACAGGACUCUUUGGACACUCGUAUACAGGUGGUGCAUGGUUGUCGUCAGCUCGUGUCGUGAGAUGUUGGGUUAAGUCCCGCAACGAGCGCAACCCUCGUCCUAUGUUGCCAGCACGUAAUGGUGGGAACUCAUGGGAUACUGCCGGGGUCAACUCGGAGGAAGGUGGGGAUGACGUCAAAUCAUCAUGCCCCUUAUGUCUUGGGCUUCACGCAUGCUACAAUGGCCGGUACAAUGGGCUGCAAUACCGCAAGGUGGAGCGAAUCCCAAAAAGCCGGUCUCAGUUCGGAUUGAGGUCUGCAACUCGACCUCAUGAAGUCGGAGUCGCUAGUAAUCGCAGAUCAGCAACGCUGCGGUGAAUACGUUCCCGGGCCUUGUACACACCGCCCGUCAAGUCAUGAAAGUCGGUAACACCCGAAGCCGGUGGCCUAACCUUUUGGAGGGAGCCGUCGAAGGGUGGAAUCGG